GAUCUAUUCCCCACUUCGGCUUUCAUAUCUGCUUAUUUCUGAUUUGAGAUACUCCCCAUUACCCACUUCUGCUAAUCCCUAAUUUCUAUCCAUUCCUGAAUAUACAUAGGUAGCUCAGUAGUCUAGUUUAAGUACUCCCUCCGUCCGAAAAAACUUGUCCCAACCUUGUUCCUCAUGGAUGAAUCUAGCACUAACUAUAUGCUAGAUACAUCCAUUUGAGGGACAAGCUUUUCCGGACGGAGGGAGUAUGAGUCAUUUUAGAAUCAGGGAGAAAAAUUAGAAGUUGUUCGAUUAGAUGUUCUUAACUUGGUUGCAGCAACUAUUAUGAGUGGGGAUUCUAGUUAGUUAAUAUUAUUGAGGCAACCAUGCUGCGAUAAAGUUGAUUGAUUGGUAGAUUUGAAAUCUGGGUGGCUAGGGGCGCUAGGGACCAAGACAGAUGAGGUUGAUUUGGCUUGAUCCUGCCAAAGAAAUUUACUUCUUUUUUGAAAAAUGAAAGCAUGUUUUUAGAAGUUCCCAAAUGCGAGCUUUAUAGCAAAUAAAAGAGGAUCAAGAGAAGCAUAGUAGGAUAAGUAUGUAUGACUCUAGGAUAAUACAGGUUGAAGAGUGAAUAAUUGAUAGUGUAGGAUAAUGAUGAUGCUAUGCUGUCAUAUAGAGGACGGUGGUUGGCUAAAAGAGCUUAUCACCUCAAAAAUUCCUUUUCUUGGAAUAACUUGCUUUAUUAGAAGUCCAUAAACAUCUCUGGCAUCUUCAGUACUACUUACGACAGCUACACAAGUGGUAUUCAUGAUGUAGCACAACCUUUUAGAUAUAUUUCUUGUUGUCCCGGAACCCCGGUUAUAUCAGAAGUGUGUUUGCAGGCUUACAAGAAAUGGAUAUUGAAGACCAUCUAAGAGUCAGGGAAUUUGUUCGAUCCUAAAUUUUUGGGACUCUGAAAUAAACACAGAGAUGGGAAUGGGGAGGCAUACCUGCCUGCCAUAUACAUCAACCCGAAGCUUUUGAGCAUUGUACAGAACAAGUAAUUGACAGGUUUACUUCAUGAUAGUCUUGGAUUUGGUUUGGCCAAAAUGAUCAAGUACUUACUACAUAAUUUCUGAAUUUACCAAUUAUUUUUUGAAUGCAUCAGUUAGACAACGGUGAUACAUCAGAGCGUCUCUUUAAUAGAAACGACUUAAUUUUGGAGGAGGACUACCCCGUUCCCAAAUCCUAGCUCCGCCGUUGAUGAUACCUGAAUUUACUUUAGUAGAUCUUCUCUUGUAAAAUCCAAACUGUUUCCGAGCCUAUAUGUUUUGUUUCAUAUUGUUGUUUAUCAUGCAAUACUUAUCCUGCAGCCAUCUGAUAUGCAAAUUUGAUAAUAGAAGAUGACCAAAUUUGUGUACAGGAAAAUGCAUAUUCUUGGACUGGGUUUUCUUCUCCACUCUAUUGGACCAAGUUACAAAUAGAUCAUACUUACUGGGUUUUAUUCAUUCAGUCAUACAGAUUCGAGCACUAUACUAUUAAAACAGUAUGAUGGAGGGCUCCAGUUUGAUGCACUGUUAAAAUUCAUGUUCAAGUCAUAGGAGGCAGGUGCGUUGCCUGAGGAGUUCGUCGGCGCCGAUGUCGGCGCCUGUGGAAGGCGGCGAUGGCCAACAGUGGCUGGGCGGCGAGGGCACAACAGUGGCUUGGCGGCACCGACGUCUGAUUGUAGUGUGCAUCUAAACGGCGACAUCAAAGAAGACAUCGAGAUUAACUGGGAUGGAACUGGCCACGUAUUGCGCACAAGAGGAUAGUCUGCACCUGCAUUGGCGAGAAGCGCGUCGUCGCGGGCGUCGUCCGCUACGCAUGGCGGCGAUGGCGCAGGACAGGCUGGGUGGCUGCGACGUACGUCCGGGUGGGCAAAGGCUGGUAGAUCGAGCUGAUUCCUGUAAGUUUAGACAUUUAUUGUGAGGCAGACGUGUUAAUUCUCAUUAAUUGUGGCUAAUUUUCUGUAGUUGAUUGGACGCGAACGCAAAGGGUGGAACUGUUUUUUUUCGCGGGAGGUGCAACUGUUUGAUCGAUGGCAGAGUUUCGUCCGCUAAUGUAAAUCGCUAAACGUACACAGGGGAGGUCUGACUUUUAUGUGGAAGGUUAGAUGCCUGAUUCUGGGGAUGGUAAUUUGUCUUA